GGAGGAAUACCCAAGCGGCUGAAGGGGCGGGCUUGGAAAGCUCGUAGACCUGUAACAGGGUGCAAGGGUUCAAAUCCCUUUUCCUCCGCCA
rnacentral:tRNA from 1 species